AGAAAAUAUAAGUACCUAAUUUUAAUAAUUGGAGAACGGAAUAGAUUAUGGCGAACUUGAGGGAGGGAUUUAUAAUUAUCCCUUUAUAAAAGAAAAUCAUCUAUUUUUUUCUAUCAGUUUUCUUUUUUCAGCUGCAUAGCCACCAUCAGUUAUUGCUGACAGGGCAGAGUCAUCUGCAUUGAAAUAUAAUAAUUAUAUAUUAUAAAUUUUUUAAUUUAAAUAAGUUAGGCGCAUCAUAAUCUUAGGCUGCCCCAUUUAGAUUUAACAAAAUUGUCAGCCAUGGAUGUUACCCCUGUCAAAUCCAUUCUUUUUUGAUUCUGUGAAUAGAAAAUCUAUAUUUACUAAUUCCUUUCGAGAAAAGAAAAGAAACUUUCAAAUGAUCUUCUGCUCAAAAUUUUCAGAGCGGAGUUCAGACAUUAGUGCUUUAAACUGGUCCCUCAGUACAAGGAAAACCUCAUCAUUCGAUGUAAAGCCAAAAAGAUCUUUCCAAGCAAAUUACAGGUGUUCAAAGAUGAGAAGAUGAACAUUCCAUCAGUUGUGUUAGAAUCUACCCAAUCAUAUUCUUGUUGACAAACACUUGGCACUGCGUGGGAGGGAAAGUGAACAGAGCUCAGGAUACAUAUCACAUUUUUUUAAUGAAGUGAUUAAAUGCCACGUGUUAUGUGAUAACAAUCAGAGGCACCGAUGAGCAGAAGUAGGUGAGUGAUUGAUUUGUUUGGCAUAUCAAUAAAAAGAGAUGUUUUGCGAUUUUGUAUAGAUAUUUUGUGAUUUGAAGAGAUAAUAUAUCGGGAAGAAUGCGUUCCAGGGGCGGUUCUCUGAUGCUCUUUCCUUUUAUACUCUCUCUGUCCCACCUUGAUGGUACAUAAUAGUUCACUCCUUUUUGUAUUUAUUAUUUAAUAAAUAAUGAAAUAUAAUAUAUUUUAUUA